rnacentral:lncRNA from 1 species
AGCAAAUUGGUCCCAGUUUUCACCCUGCCGCAGGGCUGGCUGGGGAGGGCAGCGGUUUAGAUUAGCCGUGGCCUAGGCCGUUUGACGGGGUGACACGAGCCUGCAGGGCCGAGUCCAAGGCCCGGAGAUAGGACCAACCGUCAGGAAUGCGAGGAAUGUUUUUCUUCGGACUCUAUCGAGGCACACAGACAGACCAUGGGGAUUCUGUCUACAGUGACAGCCUUAACAUUUGCCAGAGCCCUGGACGGCUGCAGAAAUGGCAUUGCCCACCCUGCAAGUGAGAAGCACAGACUCGAGAAAUGUAGGGAACUCGAGAGCAGCCACUCGGCCCCAGGAUCAACCCAGCACCGAAGAAAAACAACCAGAAGAAAUUAUUCUUCAGCCUGAAAUGAAGCCGGGAUCAAAUGGUUGCUGAUCAGAGCCCAUAUUUAAAUUGGAAAAGUCAAAUUGAGCAUUAUUAAAUAAAGCUUGUUUAAUAUGUCUCAAACAGAAAA